rnacentral:rRNA from 1 species
UACGGAGGGGGCUAGCGUUGUUCGGAAUCACUGGGCGUAAAGGGCGUGUAGGCGGUCAAGUAGGUGAGAUGUGAAAUGCUCCGGCUUACCCGGAGACCGGCAUCUCAAACCGCUUGGCUUGAGAACGGGAGAGGGUGUGGGAAUUCCUGGUGUAGCGGUGAAAUGCGUAGAUAUCAGGAGGAACACCGGUGGCGAAGGCGCACACCUGGCCCGAUACUGACGCUGAGGCGCGAAAGCUAGGGGAGCAAACGGG